AAGUCGUAACAAGGUUUCCGUAGGUAAGUUAUCACCAAAUCUCCUCGCUUUUGGUGGGAACCGUCACUAACAUCGCUUCAGGUGAACCUGCGGAAGGAUCAUUACAGUGUUAGGCUUCGGCCUCAUUCACACCCCUUGUUGAACCUCUGGUUUCUUUGGCGAUGUCAUGGACUCGUCAAACUUUAACUCUGAGAAUGUGGUACUGCCCGAGUGAGAUUGAAUUAUCAAAACUUUCAACAACGGAUCUCUUGGUUCCA
rnacentral:misc_RNA from 1 species